AGCGAACGCUGGCGGCAUGCCUAACACAUGCAGGUCGAACGAGACCUUCGGGUCUAGUGGCGCACGGGUGCGUAACGCGUGGGAACCUGCCCUUAGGUUCGGAAUAACUCCCCGAAAGGGGUGCUAAUACCGGAUAAUGUCUUCGGACCAAAGAUUUAUCGCCUUUGGAUGGGCCCGCGUUGGAUUAGCUAGUUGGUAGGGUAAAAGCCUACCAAGGCGACGAUCCAUAGCUGGUCUGAGAGGAUGAUCAGCCACACUGGGACUGAGACACGGCCCAGACUCCUACGGGAGGCAGCAGUGGGGAAUAUUGGACAAUGGGCGAAAGCCUGAUCCAGCAAUGCCGCGUGAGUGAUGAAGGCCUUAGGGUUGUAAAGCUCUUUUACCCGGGAUGAUAAUGACAGUACCGGGAGAAUAAGCUCCGGCUAACUCCGUG
rnacentral:rRNA from 1 species